GACGAACGCUGGCGGCGUGCUUAACACAUGCAAGUCGAACGGAAAGGCCCCUUUGGGGGUACUCGAGUGGCGAACGGGUGAGUAACACGUGAGUAACCUGCCCUUGACUUCGGGAUAACUUCAGGAAACUGGGGCUAAUACCGGAUAGGAAUCCUUGCUGCAUGGUGGGGGUUGGAAAGCUUCGGCGGUUUUGGAUGGACUCGCGGCUUAUCAGCUUGUUGGUGGGGUAGUGGCUUACCAAGGCUUUGACGGGUAGCCGGCUUGAGAGGGCGACCGGCCACAUUGGGACUGAGAUACGGCCCAGACUCCUACGGGAGGCAGCAGUGGGGAAUAUUGCACAAUGGGCGGAAGCCUGAUGCAGCAACGCCGCGUGCGGGAGGACGGCCUUCGGGUUGUAAACCGCUUUCAGCAGGGGCGAAGCUUGUGGUGACGGUACCUGCAGAAGAAGCACCGGCUAACUACGUG
rnacentral:rRNA from 1 species